rnacentral:lncRNA from 1 species
ACAGAAAAUAACUUCAUUCUGCAAUUGAAAGAAUCACAGCAAGCUCUCAUUGUAUCAAGGCAAACUGGCGGUCAUACUCUUCUCUAAAUGAGCCAACACUCCCUAGGAGACCUCAGUAGAACUCCCUCUUCUCUGCUGGAAAGGUUUUGCCUCCCCAGGACCCAUCCCUCACCAUCCAUGCAUGACAUUCUGGCCUCAAGUAUCCACUCCUCAAAGGAAAAGAAAUUGGAGAGAUUCGCCUUGAAAAUAAGCCUUCAUAUUAGUGACUUCCUUCUUUUAAAGGACAUCGAACAAGUUUGGGUAACUUGUUAUUCGAGAGGAAUGUCCAAGAGGACUGGGAUUUAAUAAUUAUGCAAGGAGAAGAAAUGUGGAUUUGUGUUGACAAUAGACAACGGGUGAUAACUUCUUCAUGAAGCCUGGGCAAUUCAAGGCUGCAACUUAAAUGAAAGUGUGGACAAGAGUGAUCCACUCACAUUCCUGGAGUGAUAACAAAGCAACUUGUCUGCUUCAUCUUGGAGGCUAUGUAAGAAAAAAUAUCUCCUGGAAAAUUCGUAAUUUUAGAUCUUCCUUCACAUUGGGUCGAAGAUGUUGUUUGCUGGUUUAAUAAUAGGGUAUCUAGGGGAGGAGGAAAGUACUGAUAUCUAGCAUCUGCUAAUUUCUGUGGUGACAAUAACAUUACUAUGGCUGAUUUCAGGCUACCAAUGUGAUAUCAUGAACUAGGAAUUGGGGAGAGAUGUGGACCGUCAGCUGACACAAGCUAGUGUGAGCUAGCUUCAUCCAGCACCCUACUGAUUUAAAGAGUGAACUCAUAUUACUUGAAUAAUCCAGCAAUAAAAAGAUCAUAGAAGGGUUAUAUAUUCAGUAAAAAGGUGAACUAGAAAAAAUAAACAACCCAUUGGAACAUUUAAUAUAUUUAUUGCCUAUUUAUAAUUUGAUUCUGCAACUUAAAAUACAGAGGUCCUUUCUAAAAAUGUUUACACAGGCACCUGGCCUCACCUAGUUUUCCAGGUCAGCUGUAUGCCAUUCUCAAAGUUCAGGAAACCCUAACAAGAAUUGCUUUAGGACUUAUCUCUGAUGCAUCUGACAAAGCAAAUACAAUAUUGGUCUGAAGAAGAAACUCUCCAGCUAGUUUGCACAGAAAACAUCCAGUGAAAAAUAAUAAGUUCAUAAUACAAAAAUUAAAACAUGCAAUGAAACAAAAUAUAUGUCAACAUUAGCAGAAACAAAAAUAAGCAGUAUAAACCUUAAACAACUGUAUAAAUUUUGUGUGUGUGUUUGUCUCUAUGUUUGUGUGUGGAGGCAUAUCUGUGUGAUUCCAUGUCUUUAAUAAUGGUAGAACCAUUUGUGCUUUCAAAAUCUUCUGAAUGAGUUUAAGGCUAUAUUUUUGUCAAAGAAGUUCUGGAUUUCACCCAGUUUUCAAAUUUAUUUUCACAGAA